UACGUAGGGCGCAAGCGUUGUCCGGAAUUAUUGGGCGUAAAGAGCUCGUAGGCGGUCUGUCGCGUCCGUUGUGAAAACUCGAGGCUCAACCUCGGGCUUGCAGUGGAUACGGGCAGACUAGAGUGCGGUAGGGGAGACUGGAAUCCUGGUGUAGCGGUGGAAUGCGUAGGAUAUCGGGGAGGAACACCUGUGGCGAAAGGCGGCUCA
rnacentral:rRNA from 1 species